GUGCUCUUCCUAUCUCAGCACCUUUUGAUUGAGAUUUUGAGAAGAGUUGCUCUUUGGAGAGCACAGUACGAUGAAAGUUGUAUGCUGUGUUCGGGGGGGAAUUAUUGUCUAUCGUUGGCCUCUAUGGUAGAAUCAGUCGGGGACCUGAGAGGCGGUGGUUUACCCUGCGGCGGAUGUCAGCGAUUCGAGUCCGCUUAUCUCCAACUCCUGA